rfam:Thermoanaerobacter pseudethanolicus ATCC 33223, complete genome.
UGAAAAGAAAGGCAAAGUGGUGCAGUAUCCUAGUCAGAGGCGCUAAUCCCGAAGACGGGCCUAAAAAUCCGUCAAGGGCACAUCGAUGAAGUUCCUGGUGCUGGCUUUCAACGCCCAGUUGGGGGCUGGUGCUGGGAGUUAAGGAGGGGGGGCGAUCCACAAUGGCAUGUGGGCGUUGACCCUUCCUCCGCGGAGACCUACUUGCGUGGCUUUUACAGGCUACGGGGUAGGAUGAACCUGUCUCGCGGCCAUAAAGCUGCGGACAGUGUAGCCUGCCUUGAGUGAUUCGGGUGGAUAUCAGUUGUAAGCCAUAAUUCAAAGAGCUCUUGAAUUACUGGCUAUUGCUGAUGAAACCCGAAUUGCAAAAGAGGAUAGGGGUUAGUCCCUCUGUUGAGGAAAACUCCUAGGCUGCGCCUUGCCGGGCGGCAUAUUGGGGAUUACGGUGCGGACUAAGUGGUAGUCCAGUCUUACCUUUGGCGACAAGGUAAAAGCGGGCUUAAAGGGGAACCGCUGAACGGCGACGUUCAGUGCACGCUUGGGAAAUCCUACUGGACCUAAGCCGCAAAGUUUACCCAAUAUGCUACCACUUUGCCUUUAUACAUG